GACAGAGGGUGCAAACGUUGUUCGGAAUUACUGGGCGUAAAGCGAGUGUAGGCGGUUUGGUAAGUCGGGUGUGAAAGCCCCGGGCUCAACCUGGGAAUUGCAUUCGAGACUGCGUAGCUAGGGUGCGGAAGAGGGAAGCGGAAUUUCCGGUGUAGCGGUGAAAUGCGUAGAUAUCGGAAGGAACACCAGUGGCGAAAGCGGCUUCCUGGUCCAGCACCGACGUUCAGGCACGAAAGCGUGGGGAGCAAACAGG
rnacentral:rRNA from 1 species